CCCAGCCAAGUGCCAUCAAGAUCAGCAAACUCUCUGUCAGCCUGCAGACAAGUUUUAAUCUAGCCAAUACUCUGGCCAGUAGGAACCCAGGAGCCCAGAAGCCCCAGGCCUGAUCCAUUCCGGCAAUUAUGGUGAGAGGGUGUCAGCAAUCAAAACCUUGACUUCAGAGAGACAGACAGAAAAGGACAGAGAGAGAGAGAGAGAGAAUGAGAACAACAAAAAUAAAUUGCCUAAGGGCACAU
rnacentral:lncRNA from 1 species